rnacentral:lncRNA from 1 species
GGGCUCUCUAGGGCUGUUGUCUGUCAACAGCGAGAUGAGAACAACGGGCAACAGCAGCAGCUCCGUCGGCCCACGGCCGCCCCAGGGGCCCUGGGAGGGCGGGAAGGGAGACACUGCCAGACCUCAGAGCUUGGCACCAAGAGCCAGUUAUCAGCCAGAUAAUGUACUCAACCAAUGGCGAGAAACCCGACCAUGAACUUAUUGGGAACUGGUCACAGAAAAGAGAAGGACUCUUUGUCCUGAGUGUGUGAGGCUGUGAUGGUAGGAGCCGCAGGGCUGUGACUCACACGAUGCCACAAGGUUCCUUCCAAAAACAACUGGGGAUGCUGUGUGGGGAAAGGGCUGAUGGCACAGUAGGAGGUAACGGGCUCAAAACUGACCUCCUUUUUAGGGGUGAGGAAAAGACUGUCACCUCAUCUUGUGGCUUCAGAGCCCAGAAGAGAUUGUGGAGCAGCGGUUAGAGACUUACGGAGGAAUUCUGAUAUUUUUAACUCUUCGGCACUUUGCUUUUCUUGAGCAAUUCCCACACCACCCCUUUUUAAAGAUUUAUUAGAUUCAGGGGCUACUUUAUAAUAUCCUUGGAGCCCAAAUUAGACUUUAAGCACAUAACAUAUCUGAGCUUGAGGAGUUUAACUUCUUCAACAAAGGAGCAAAGAGAUUUGGUGAAAUGACCCCCAUGGUCCCUAAUGCUGAUGGACCCACCGAAGUUAGCCUGUCACCAGAAGCAAAGGGAUACUAUUUUUAAGAUAUGAGGAUCUUUUCCACAUUUCUGUUCAAAGCAGUAACUUUGCAGCUUCAUCUAUUGAAGGCCUCAUCUCCACCUGCUUUUCCUACCCUGGAUUCACAGGGCUUGUGGUGCCCUCUCCCUGCCUCCACUCACCUUCCAACAAGUGCUGGAGUUUGAUUCACACCAAACAGAAAUAGCCAAAAUUUGUAAGAACUCUAUUGGGCAGCUCUUCUGUAUCAAUGACUGUACAGGCUCCAAGGGCCAGAAAUAAUGAAGAUACAGCACCUAUCUCAGCGAGCUGACAGCCUUGAAGGGGGAUGAGGCUGGAAAACAAAUGACAACACAGUGUGAUAAGUUCACUGCAGACCAGGGAGAGCGACAACUUUGAGAAAGGGUGAUUGCUUUUAAACGGAAAGGAAAAGAGCUUGGGAAAUACUUCCAGAAGAAACUGACAUCUAACUUAGGAAGCCCAGCAGGGCCAACUGGACGAAAGCGCUUGGGUUUUGCCCAAUGCAACUGCAUAUAAUCGAGAGCAAGGGACCCACAGCUGGAAGGGCCCAAGAGUCUGGAGCUCUCUAUCUCCCAUGAACUCUCAAAACUGACCCAUCUGAGUGCCUGUCUGGGCCAGGGCCCUACCCCGAGGAGAAAUUCCUGGGAGUAGAAUCAAAAUCAAUCAAGACAGGCAUGACAGAGACAAGAGAAAAAGAAGGUCCACACCAGGCCAACAAAUCCCUCUGUUAUGAACCAGAUAGUAAACAUCGUAGGCUUUGAAGUCCAGACGGUCUUGCUGCUACUACUCGGCCCUGCGGUUAUAAGGUAAAAGCAGCCACACAUGACAUGUAAAUGAAUGGGCAUGGCUGUGUGCCAAAAAAACUUUAUUUAUGAACACUGAAGUUUGCAUUGUACACAAUUUUCACGUGUGACAAAAUAGUAUUCUUUGUUUGUUUGUUUCAACCAUUUAAAAAUGUAAAAAGCAUUUUUAAUGCACAGGCUAUACAAAACUGGUGGUGGGCCAGAGUUUGAUUUCUGUCUCCUGGUGUUGAUGAAAGAGGCUUUGAGAAAAAGAUGCAGGAAAACUCAAGACAGGAUGCCAUGCUGCUUUUGGACAUUACCAAAAACAGCAGAAGAGGGAGCCCCGCAAAG